GGAAGAAGCACUUAAGGAAGAGCCCAGUGAGCUCUCAUGAAGGAUACCAAAUAUAGAUGUUUCUGUUUGCAUAUGGUGAGUCUGGCUGAUGAGGGUGCCCGAACUUCAGGAAAGUAUUUCUGUUUCUCAGGAUAGCCCAGUCCAUAACACAGAAGCAUAUGGGCUGCAAGGCAGUAGGAGGAUUUGUGGGGGUGCUGAAGACAUGCCCCAAAAGAGUGUUGAUAAGUGGAAGGGUCUCCUGCGGUCUACCAUAAGGAUCUGUUUUUUGCCAGGCUCCAGUUUACUUAACAGGCAGAAAGCCCCCAGCCAGCGUCCUCCAGCCUGUCUUCACAUCGCUGACACCUUGUGGCCCAGGAUGCUUUGGCCUAUUUGGUGAAUAGGAGGCAACGGGACCCUGGCAAAGGGAAGACUGCAGCUUGCAAAGGUAGGAAUGAAGGCUCAGAGAGCCGGACCCCCAAGGAGGAAAAUACAAGCUCAGCCAACCCCUUGCCUUCUCACCGUGUCUGUUGUGGCUGGAGGAAGAGGGUCGGCCCAGCUGCAGAUGCUUUGACCCUGCCGAUACCUGACAGACCUGUCCCACUAAGGAUGGCAGAGUGUGACAGUGGCUGUGAAGGUACUGGAUCAUGCCCUACUCAUGACACCUCCUCAGCUGUGUGCCUUCCGGCAAGUGAGCCUACCUCUCCAAGCCUCAGACUCCCUCGGUAGAAAAUGAACAGUGAUGAUCAAACCGUCCUCAAAGAGGGUGAUGUGAAGAUGAAAUGAAAUUUAAUGCUAACAACGUGUUUAGCAUGGUGCAGGGAGCAGGGGAAGCAUGAAAUGAAUCAUAUAAAUUAGUAAAUAUGUGCAUUUUCACAGCUUUGCCAAGCCCAAAGAACAGAAUGAUCCUUAGGGUGUAUGGGGCCCCAGGAAAAUAUUUGAUUAAAAAUGUGUUAUCAAAUCCAUGUGGAGUCUAAUGAUUUAUUGAUGAAGGUUUAGAAUAAUGGGCAGAGAAGAGGAACGUAAUUGUUUGUUGGCCUAUUGGAGCUCGUGAAGAUUCUUCAGAGAGCCCCUGCACUGCCUCUCCCCGUUCAGGUCCAGGAAGCAUCUCUUUGUAUUCUUUAUUGACAAGAGCACAUUCCUGGCUAAUUUCCUAUUUCCCACUGCAAGGAACAGGUGGCAACACCAUUUGAACCCACAAUGCUAUGGCUUCCAGAGUCUGUAAGUCACUGAGGCCACAUUCGUCUCUUUGGCUUUGCCAUAUCCCAGCGUCAUGUGUUCAAUGUUGGUGGCCACCAUCACUCCUGAAGCCACAUCAGCCACAUGUUGUCCAUGAGCAUGGACUUCACUGACCUCCAAUUGCUGUUGUGCUUCAUUAUUGAUGACCACACGUGCAAGACCUGCCCCCCAGGACUGCGGGGGAAAUGGGAACAGUGAUUCAUUUUCUGGUCACAUUAAAUUUGCCACUUGGAAUGUUGAAGCACAAACCCACAGCACAACUUCUACCCACAUCUUCGCUGGAACUGAUAAAGACAUCCCUAGAAUGUCAUGGCUCUCACUGUGACCUAGGUCCCUGCCUUCCCAUACCACCACUCCCAAAGCAGUGGGAGUUGACAAUGGGCACCUCGCACUAAGAGCAUCCAUCCUCUCUCUAGCAGGUCUUUAGAGGGCCAGCAGGAGCAUGGUGUCCCCACACCCAUCAGCCAUUAGAAACUGUAUCAUGGUUUUCUCCAAAGCCCUCAGAGGAUGUAGGCACAGCCACCCCCUGGAAACUGCCUGACUUGGAGCCAGGCAGGAGAUAUGGGCACCAUCCUUGGUGCCAACAGUAGGAGGAACACAGGGUAAAGAUGGUCCACUACCCUUCUCACCACCCUUAGGUGUCAUAGACCUGAGGCAACACCAUGAUGGAAGACAACCAGCAUUUAGGCCCACAAUGGUGGCUCAAACCCAAGGCCCUGUGGACUGUGGGUAGUUCAGAGCUCCCAAACUUACUCUCUGGCAUGAAUGAGUUACCCCAAAUAAGUAUGUCAGUACAUUCUAGGAGCCCCAGUUCAUGCCUCCAGGGAAAGAAAUAGCAGGCCAGCCAGUGGUGGUCAUCCACUUCUCAGAUCACUCUUCUGGAACCAUGGCCUGGUGGUGGGGUCCUGGGAUGAUCCCCUAGGCAUGGAUCCUGAAGCUCCUUGAGAUGCUUUGCAGACUCCAUGCAGAGUACAGGGUCUGAGAGCAUCUGGAAGGGGAGACACAGAGUCAGAGGCUCCUGUCAGUCUAGGACUAGAAUGUGAGUAUCCCACAUGGAGGCUCUGCUAGCCCUGGAGGGUCUUGGGUACUAAGAGAACCUACAAAAUGUUCUUUCUAGCAGCAAUGUCCACAAUAGCUGAACUGUAGAAGGAGCCUCGGUGUCCAUUGAAAGAUGAAUGGAUAAAGAAGAUGUGGUCUAUGUAUACAAUGGAAUAUUACUCAGCCAUCAGAAACGACACAUACCCACCAUUUGCUGCAACGUGGAUGGAACUGGAGGGUAUUAUGCUGAGUGAAGUAAGUCAAUCGGAGAAGGACAAACAUUAUAUGGUCUCAUUCAUUUGGGGGAUAUAAAUAAUAGUGAAAGGGAAUAGAGGGGAAGGGAGAAGAAAUGGGUAGGAAAUAUCAGAAAGGGAGACAGAACAUGGAAAACUCCUAACUCUGGGAAACGAACUAGGGGUGGUGGAAGGGAAGGAGGGCGGAGGGCUGGGGGUGACUCUGGGUGGCGGCACUGAGGGGGGCACUUGACGGGAUGAGCACUGGGUGUUAUUCUGUAUGUUGGCCAAUUGAACACCAAUAAAAAAUAAAUUUAUUAUUAAAAAAAA
rnacentral:lncRNA from 12 species